rnacentral:rRNA from 1 species
AUGAACGCCGCCGCCGAUGUCCGCCGCCGCAGCACGCGGCUCCUUCCCCAGAUCCACGCGAGCGACGGAGUGGCCCGCCGCCGCAGCCCGCGCCUCCGUCCCCAGGCCCAGGCGAGCGAGGAGGUAGCCGGAGUGGCUCGACGGCGCAGCGCGUUCCUCCGUCCACAGAUCCACGCGGGUGAGGAGGCAUCCGGCCGCAGUCGUCGUCGCCGCCGCGGCAGCUCGCCGGCGGGGCUGUCCUCGCCGCUUGAGGUCGAAGAUCUUCUGUGGGAGAUCCUCCUCCGUCUCCCGCCGCAGCCCUCCUCCCUUCCACGCGCCUCGGCCGUCUGCAAGCGGUGGCGAUGCGCUGUCACCGACCCAAGGUUCCACCGCCGCUUCUGUCAACACCACCGGAAGCCGCCACUCCUCGGUUUCUUCGUACAAGACGGGGAUGGUUUGCUGUUCAAACCCGCCAUGGGCCCUCCCGACCGUAUCCCCAGUCGGCGCUUCAACCUGCGACUCCACAACAUUUGCGGCGGCACCGGUCGGCUGCUCGGGUGCCGCCACGGCCGCGUCCUCGUCAUAGACUCGCUGCACAAAGUGCUUAUUGUCAUUGCACCCAUCACCGGGACCAAGCUCUGUGUGCCCUUUCCGCCCAAGUUGAAAGGGGACAGCUUCAUCACCGGGACGGUGCUCUGCGCUGCUGCUGACCAUGACCACGUGCACGGAAGCUGCCACUUGAGCCCAUUCAAGGUGGUCCUGCUGUACUUGAGCAUCAGAGGUCCACAGCCCGCCUUUGCACAUGUUUACUCCUCAGAGACCGAUGUAUGGAGCGACCUCAUCUCAACACCGACUCCACCUAAGUUUUGUCAUACUGAUAGUCAUGCUUCACUUAUUGGUAAUGCACUUUACUGGCUGUGCAGAGGUGGAGAUUACAUACUUAGGUUUGAUUUGGAUGGGCACAACCUAGCUGUGAUCAGAGCGCCUCCCAUUACAAAUGAUGUCUGCUACCACAAUGGCAGCCAUCAGAUCAUUCAGGCUGUGGAUGGCGCCGUUGGUCUUGCCAUAUUGUCUGAUAAUGGCCAUACCAUCAAACGUGGCAAAAGGAGGUCAAUUCCCAGAGUGUUAACAAAUGGUUGUUGUGGCAGACCAUUGAAAUGCAUAACAUUCAUGGGUUACCUGCUCAGAUUGAAGGAAAGAAGGCAAGGUUAA